rnacentral:tRNA from 1 species
GGCCUAUUAGCUCAGUUGGUUAGAGCGUCGUGCUAAUAACGCGAAGGUCACAGUUUCGAAACCUGUAUAGGCCA